rnacentral:rRNA from 1 species
UACGUAGGGGGCAAGCGUUAUCCGGAUUUACUGGGUGUAAAGGGAGCGUAGACGGUAUAUCAAGUCUGAAGUGAAACCCCACGGCUCAACCGUGGGCUUGCUUUGGAAACUGGUAUACUAGAGUACUGGAGAGGUAAGCGGAAUUCCUGGUGUAGUAGUGAAAUGCGUAGAUAUCAGGAAGAACAUCAGUGGCGAAGGCGGCUUACUGGACAGCAACUGACGUUGAGGCUCGAAGGCGUGGGGAGCAAAC